UACGAACGCUGGCGGCGUGCCUAAUACAUGCAAGUCGAACGCUUUUUCUUUCACCGGAGCUUGCUCCACCGAAAGAAAAAGAGUGGCGAACGGGUGAGUAACACGUGGGUAACCUGCCCAUCAGAAGGGGAUAACACUUGGAAACAGGUGCUAAUACCGUAUAACACUAUUUUCCGCAUGGAAGAAAGUUGAAAGGCGCUUUUGCGUCACUGAUGGAUGGACCCCCGGUGCAUUAGCUAGUUGGUGAGGUAACGGCUCACCAAGGCAACGAUGCAUAGCCGACCUGAGAGGGUGAUCGGCCACACUGGGACUGAGACACGGCCCAGACUCCUACGGGAGGCAGCAGUAGGGAAUCUUCGGCAAUGGACGAAAGUCUGACCGAGCAACGCCGCGUGAGUGAAGAAGGUUUUCGGAUCGUAAAACUCUGUUGUUAGAGAAGAACAAGGAUGAGAGUAAAACGUUCAUCCCUUGACGGUAUCUAACCAGAAGGCCACGGCUAACUACGUGCCAGCCGCCGCCGUAA
rnacentral:rRNA from 1 species